AUGGUGAGAUGUUGUGUUUAGGUAGGGGUGACAGUGUUACAGGGAUGUUGUCCGGAGGAGAGAGCGAGCGGGACUAUCGUCUUGAGUAAUUGAAGGGUGAAGACUUUUGGAUCGCUUCGGGUGGGAGGUUUCAGCCAGUUGAUGCGCCCACACAAACCCUAAGUCCCUGUGGCGCAUCUGGGCGGAACAGGCCUGCGCAGUGAUGAGUGGAAGGUAUCAAGGGCAGCACGCGGGGCUCGUGAGGAAGGAUUUGCAUUUGCGGGAGAGGUAGUAAGGACGAAGAAACUUAGCGCUCGAAGGUUGUGCUAGAAUGAAAAACGAUGUCGAAGAUUUGAGCUGCGGCUAAAGGCUUCCCGUGUAUUACAGGGCAUGCCUCGUGGAAUCAUCCACAGAGGUUUUUGCUUAUGCCCUAAGAGAGAGGUAACGUGAGUGUGACAGUUUGGGGGACGCGUUUGCACGCAAGGGCUGGACGCGGUUGAUGACGAGAGUAUUGUGUAGUGUAAUGGAGGUGGUGUAUGUUUCGCGCGCUCGAAGAAUUCAUGCUGUACAACUGUCCUUACCGUUUGGGAGAAUAGCCAGUUAUGCUCAAACACGUUUCUUGUCGGCAGCCUUGGUUGGCGGCAUAGUGCUUACUGACGCCGGCCCUUCCUGAGCACGGGAGUUUUGACCAAUCCAAGGGCACUCAAAAGUCCAUUGUAACAAAGAUGACGAGAUUGCGCCGGCCCGCUUCAACCAGUAAUCUGCUGAACGCGAUACCAUUCUGCCGAGCAUCGCAGCCUUACUGGGUUGCCCGAGAUGGCUGUUUCUUUCGCAGGACUCAGAAGCUGAAGCUUGCAAGUCUGUCCCAUUUGGCUUUCUCCUGAAACGUGGUGCCAGUUGCAUUCGCAAAUGAUGCAGCAUAUAGUCCAACCUGAAAGACAUGGGAACCUUACCCCUUAAACUUGUUCGCCCAAUACCGAAUUGUCACCCAUUCCUUCUUGAACCACUUAAAAUACCCAUACUGGUGCAAGAGUCCAACCAGGAAAGGAAGGAGCAGAUGCAAGGGAACGCAUACAGGUCCCAAGCAGAUGAUCAUCUCAGCUCAAAGCCUGACCUAGGCAAAAGACUAAUUGAGAGGAUGCCGCGAUAAAAACCCGAACGGUGCUUUGCCAGUGUCCCUGUGACAGCUAAAGAGCUAAACCUGCCUUGCAAAUCAUAGCUACACGUAAAAAGUAAACUAAGUAACAAACACAACAGGAAAAGCCCCCCAUGGCGACCGAUGUAAUCAUCCUGUACGGCAAACAUGUCUUCCUGCAACCAAUUCGCAAGACACCCUAACCUCCUUUUAUGAAGGCUCCCACUCCACAGGGCAAAGGUCGCCAUCGCGUUCGCUGACAAGUAGGCCCAAACAAACUGGCAACGUGAUGGCGUCAAAAUUCUGACCUCCUUUCUUGCUUGUG
rnacentral:lncRNA from 1 species